AGCUACGGCCGUGUGGCGCGUUGGUACACCCGAUCCCUUGAUCUCGGAAGUUAAGCAACGUGCGGUCUGGACAGUACAAAUGUACUUGGAUGGGACGUCUGGAUUGCUGUAGCCU
rnacentral:rRNA from 1 species